rnacentral:pre_miRNA from 1 species
GAAGUUUAAAACCUCUCUUACGGGCUCCGUUUUAUUUCUUUUCUCAAAAUGAGAAAAUGAGAAAAGAAAUAAAACGGAGCCAGUAAGAUAGGUUUUAAACUC